AGGAUAAACGCUGGCGGCGUGCCUAACACAUGCAAGUCGAACGCGCUUUCGGGCUUCGGUGCGAGAGCGAGUGGCGGACGGGUGAGUAACACAUGGGUACCUACCUUGGAGUGAGGGAUACCGGCGAGAAAUCGCCGACAAUACCGCAUAGGCUUCUUCACAAGGGAAGCAAAGUGACGCGAGUCACGCUGUGAGAUGGGCCUGUGGCCGAUUAGCUAGUUGGGGGGGUAACGGCUUCCCAAGGCGACGAUCGGUAGCUGGUCUGAGAGGACGAUCAGCCACACUGGGAUUGAGAACGGCCCAGACUCCUACGGGGGCAGCAGUGAGGAAUUUUCCGCAAUGGAGGCAACUCUGACGGAGCAACGCCGCGUGCAGGAGGAAGGUUUUCGGAUCGUAAACUGCUUUCGUCGGGGACGAGCAAGGACGGUACCCGAGGAAGAAGCCCCGGCUAACUACGUGCCAGCAGCCGC
rnacentral:rRNA from 1 species